rnacentral:lncRNA from 1 species
CACACACACACACACACACUCCUGCGGUGUGUUGUCCCCGCCUCUGUCUCUAUGAGUGAGUGCAUUUGAGACGUCCUGGGAUUUAUUCAGAGAAAGCCUCCUCCAUCUGAUCUGCUCCACUGCACCAUUUCUGAGCACAAGUGCCAUUUUGUGGGAUUUACACAGUAAAUAAAGGCCCACAUGAUUUGUCUUCCCCUGCAGUAGAGAAUGGGUGCGGAGAGAAAUGAUGAAGGAGAGCGUCUGCUGGAUAUAUGGCUGGAUAUGAGGAGAUAAUCUGACAUGGAUUUCAGCAGCUCUUCUUGACUUUAAGUUUCUCCUUGUCCG